AUGAACGCUAGCGACAGGCUUAACACAUGCAAGUCGAGGGGCAGCACAGGUAGCAAUACCGGGUGGCGACCGGCGCACGGGUGAGUAACGCGUAUGCAACUUACCUAUCAGAGGGGGAUAACCCGGCGAAAGUCGGACUAAUACCGCAUGAAGCAGGGGCCCCGCAUGGGGAUAUUUGCUAAAGAUUCAUCGCUGAUAGAUAGGCAUGCGUUCCAUUAGGCAGUUGGCGGGGUAACGGCCCACCAAACCGACGAUGGAUAGGGGUUCUGAGAGGAAGGUCCCCCACAUUGGUACUGAGACACGGACCAAACUCCUACGGGAGGCAGCAGUGAGGAAUAUUGGUCAAUGGCCGAGAGGCUGAACCAGCCAAGUCGCGUGAGGGAUGAAGGUUCUAUGGAUCGUAAACCUCUUUUAUAAGGGAAUAAAGUGCGGGACGUGUCCCGUUUUGUAUGUACCUUAUGAAUAAGGAUCGGCUAACUCCGUGCCAGCAGCCGCGGUAAUACGGAGGAUCCGAGCGUUAUCCGGAUUUAUUGGGUUUAAAGGGUGCGUAGGCGGCCUUUUAAGUCAGCGGUGAAAGUCUGUGGCUCAACCAUAGAAUUGCCGUUGAAACUGGGGGGCUUGAGUAUGUUUGAGGCAGGCGGAAUGCGUGGUGUAGCGGUGAAAUGCAUAGAUAUCACGCAGAACCCCGAUUGCGAAGGCAGCCUGCCAAGCCAUUACUGACGCUGAUGCACGAAAGCGUGGGGAUCAAACAGGAUUAGAUACCCUGGUAGUCCACGCAGUAAACGAUGAUCACUAGCUGUUUGCGAUACACUGUAAGCGGCACAGCGAAAGCGUUAAGUGAUCCACCUGGGGAGUACGCCGGCAACGGUGAAACUCAAAGGAAUUGACGGGGGCCCGCACAAGCGGAGGAACAUGUGGUUUAAUUCGAUGAUACGCGAGGAACCUUACCCGGGUUUGAACGCAUUCGGACCGAGGUGGAAACACCUUUUCUAGCAAUAGCCGUUUGCGAGGUGCUGCAUGGUUGUCGUCAGCUCGUGCCGUGAGGUGUCGGCUUAAGUGCCAUAACGAGCGCAACCCUUGCCACUAGUUACUAACAGGUAAAGCUGAGGACUCUGGUGGGACUGCCAGCGUAAGCUGCGAGGAAGGCGGGGGUGACGUCAAAUCAGCACGGCCCUUACAUCCGGGGCGACACACGUGUUACAAUGGCGUGGACAAAGGGAAGCCACCUGGCGACAGGGAGCGAAUCCCCAAACCACGUCUCAGUUCGGAUCGGAGUCUGCAACCCGACUCCGUGAAGCUGGAUUCGCUAGUAAUCGCGCAUCAGCCAUGGCGCGGUGAAUACGUUCCCGGGCCUUGUACACACCGCCCGUCAAGCCAUGGGAGCCGGGGGUACCUGAAGUCCGUAACCGCGAGGAUCGGCCUAGGGUAAAACUGGUGACUGGGGCU
rnacentral:rRNA from 1 species